rnacentral:rRNA from 1 species
GACGUAGGGCGCGAGCGUUGUCCGGAUUUAUUGGGCGUAAAGAGCUCGUAGGCGGCCUGUCGCGUCGACUGUGAAAACUCACGGCUCAACCGUGGGACUGCAGUCGAUACGGGCAGGCUAGAGUUCGGUAGGGGAGACUGGAAUUCCUGGUGUAGCGGUGAAAUGCGCAGAUAUCAGGAGGAACACCGGUGGCGAAGGCGGGUCUCUGGGCCGAUACUGACGCUGAGGAGCGAAAGCGUGGGGAGCGAACAGG